ensembl:lncRNA
AGAAGGCGCUAGGAGCAAAGGAAAGUGGUUUUUCUAACAAACUCAUAUAAUCAAGUGCACAACGUACUCCAAUUUGAUUUUUUUCACAUAGUUAGACAUAAUAUAGUACUAAGAAAUGUUUCUGACCCAAAAAUAUUACGAAAUAUGAUUGUUUACAUUAAAGUGCAAAAGUUGAUGAAAAAGUAUGAUUAAAGUGAAAAAAGUGACAUUUUAUGUCUAGAAAGUGACUUUUCAUCAAAAGUACAAUUACAAAACUAGUUCCCAUUCAUCCUGUGUCUCCAUGCACACUUGUGCUCUUUAUCCGCUCAAAACGCUAUACAGCGAACGAGAAGGCGCUAGGAGCAAAGGAAAGUGGUUUUUCUAACAAACUCAUAUAAUCAAUUGCCAGACCUACUCCAAUUUGAUUCUUUUCACAUAUUUAGACAUAAUAUAGUACUAUGAAAUGUUUCUGACCCAAAAUAUUACGAAAUAUGAUUGUUUACAUUAAAGUGCAAAAGUUGAUGAAAAAGUAUGAUAAGGUGAAAAAAGUGACAUUUUAU